rnacentral:rRNA from 1 species
UACGGGGGGGGCAAGCGUUGUUCGGAAUUACUGGGCGUAAAGGGCUCGUAGGCGGCCAACUAAGUCAGACGUGAAAUCCCUCGGCUUAACCGGGGAACUGCGUCUGAUACUGGAUGGCUUGAGUUUGGGAGAGGGAUGCGGAAUUCCAGGUGUAGCGGUGAAAUGCGUAGAGAUCUGGAGGAACACCGGUGGCGAAGGCGGCAUCCUGGACAAACCCUGACGCUGAGGAGCGAAAGCCAGGGGAGCAAACGGG